rnacentral:rRNA from 2 species
AACUUUCAACAACGGAUCUCUUGGUUCUGGCAUCGAUGAAGAACGCAGCGAAAUGCGAUAAGUAGUGUGAAUUGCAGAAUUCAGUGAAUCAUCGAAUCUUUGAACGCA